UUCUGAAGUCAAACCGUCAUGUUUUUCACAGCAGACGUGAGGAUUUUCAUAAGCUUUCCUCAUCUCAUUGGUUUUUAUCUUUUAACUUCUCUUUUAAUGGUUCAGAACCGAAACACUUUGCCUUCUAUCGGUGCUCUGUCGGCAAUUUCUUCUGCAGUCUCCCAAGGUAGUGACCUCCAGAGCAUACGGGAAUGUGUAGAACGAUUGGAGAAUGCUAACAAUGCUCGGAUGGAAUGCUUGGAGAUAGCUUAUGGAGAUUUGGCAUGACAUCUUUCCCUGCAAAAGGAUGCGAUGGACGUUCUUGCAGACAUACUGCUUAUAGCUCCCAACCCGAGAAUUGAGAAGAUAAAAACGCAUCUGGAAGUUUUGAAGUAGAUGACGGACAAUUUGAAUCGUAACAAUCCACUAGGCACUGGUUUUGGCAAAAAUUCUUUAUCAAAUCAUAACCAAAAUUAUGGCACUCCUCAACACCAGGUAAAAAUAGAUUUUUCGCAUUUUGAUGGAGCUGACCCAGCUUGAUAUUUCAUGCAGAACAAUAUUUUUCCCUCUAUGCAAUGACGGACCCACAACAUAUUAUCAUGGCUUCGGUGCAUAUGGAGGGAGCCGCAAUGCCAUGGUUCCAAAUGAUGUUAAAGUUAAAACAUAUAACUACCUGGGCAAGUCUCACUAGGGCAGUGGAGAUACAGUUCAAACUAGCCCAAUUUGAACACCCUCAUUCACAGUUGUUCAAAUUUACCCAGACGGAUAUGCUGGAGGCAUAUCAUCAGCAAUUUAUGACCCUGGCCAACUGUAUAGAAGGAAUUUUAGAUGAGGCAUUACUGGAUUGUUUUGUAGGAGGGCUUAAGCCUGAGCUAAGAAGGGAGAUAAAGGGAAAGCGGUGAUGACUGAAAUUAGUGGAAUGAUGCCGUUGAGCGUAAGAUUGCUCACUACAGUGCCUGCUUCAUCUCACACCAGUCACAUUAAUUCAAUGCCAUCAAAGAACUCAUCGAUGUUGCCCUUGCUACCUACGCCCAAUAUGAAGCCAUUAGUUCCAGUUCGCAAAAUAAAUCCGGUUGAGAUGCAAAUCAGAUGUGAGAAAGGUUUAUCUUAUACGUGUGAUGAGAAAUUCACAUCGACUCACAAGUAUGCCAAUUGUCAAUUCAUGUGGUUGCAGAUUGAUGAAGAGUAAGACGUCCCAAAACUACCUCUUCCACCCUAAAAAGACCCACCAAGGGACGUAACGGCCACAUGCCAUCAUAUUUCUUUGUAGGCUUAUAACGGAACAGGG